UACAGAGGGUGCGAGCGUUAAUCGGAAUUACUGGGCGUAAAGCGUGCGUAGACGGUUAUCUAAGUCGGAUGUGAAAGCCCCGGGCUCAACCUGGGAAUUGCAUUCGAGACUGAAUAGCUAGGGUACGGUAGAGGGAAGUGGAAUUUCCGGUGUAGCAGUGAAAUGCGUAGAUAUCGGAAGAACAUCAGUGGCGAAAGCGGCUUCCAUGGUCCAGGCACCGAC
rnacentral:rRNA from 1 species